rnacentral:rRNA from 1 species
AUUGAACGCUGGCGGCAUGCCUUACACAUGCAAGUCGAACGGCAGCACGGGAGCAAUCCUGGUGGCGAGUGGCGAACGGGUGAGUAAUAUAUCGGAACGUGCCCAGUCGUGGGGGAUAACGUAGCGAAAGCUACGCUAAUACCGCAUACGAUCUAUGGAUGAAAGCGGGGGAUCGCAAGACCUCGCGCGAUUGGAGCGGCCGAUAUCAGAUUAGGUAGUUGGUGAGGUAAAGGCUCACCAAGCCGACGAUCUGUAGCUGGUCUGAGAGGACGACCAGCCACACUGGGACUGAGACACGGCCCAGACUCCUACGGGAGGCAGCAGUGGGGAAUAUUGGACAAUGGGCGAAAGCCUGAUCCAGCCAUGCCGCGUGUGUGAAGAAGGUCUUCGGAUUGUAAAGCACUUUAAGUUGGGAGGAAGGGUAGUAACCUAAUACGUUG